rnacentral:rRNA from 1 species
UACGAAGGGGGCAAGCGUUGUUCGGAAUUACUGGGCGUAAAGGGCGCGUAGGCGGCUUAUCAAGUCAGGCGUGAAAUUCCCGGGCUCAACCUGGGGGCUGCGCUUGAUACUGAUUGGCUUGAAUGCGGGAGAGGAUAGUGGAAUUCCCAGUGUAGAGGUGAAAUUCGUAGAUAUUGGGAAGAACACCGGUGGCGAAGGCGGCUAUCUGGCCCGUAAUUGACGCUGAGGCGCGAAAGCUUGGGGAGCAAACAGG